rnacentral:rRNA from 1 species
UACGUAGGGGGCAAGCGUUGUCCGGAAUCAUUGGGCGUAAAGCGCGUGUAGGCGGCUUCGUAAGUCCGUUGUGAAAGUCCAGGGCUCAACCCUGGAAUGCCGAUGGAUACUGCGGAGCUAGAGUCCGGAAGAGGCGAGUGGAAUUCCUGGUGUAGCGGUGAAAUGCGCAGAUAUCAGGAGGAACACCAUAGGCGAAGGCAGCUGCGCUGGGACGGUACUGACGCGUGAGGUGACGAAAGCGUGGGGAGCAAACAGG